UACGUAGGGCGCAAGCGUUAUCCGGAAUUAUUGGGCGUAAAGAGCUCGUAGGCGGUUUGUCGCGUCUGCCGUGAAAGUCCGGGGCUCAACUCCGGAUCUGCGGUGGGUACGGGCAGACUAGAGUGAUGUAGGGGAGACUGGAAUUCCCGGUGUAGUGGUGGAAUGCGUAGAUAUCGGGAGGAACGACCAGUGGCGAAGGCGGAGUUGCCUGGGCUUUGGCUGACGCUGAUGCGGCGAAAGCGAUGGGGAGCGUGGGACGCGAAUUCGAAU
rnacentral:rRNA from 1 species